rnacentral:tRNA from 1 species
AAGGGAGACCUAAUUCAGGUAGGAGACGAAAAAAAGUAGUCCCUACCAAGAAUCAAUCCCAAAAGGUCGGAGCGAGGCAAAAUUGGCUUUCAAACUAGGUUCUGGGUUCAUAAAAGACCUGAAUCAGGAACAAGGGCUAUUAGCUCAGGUGGUUAGAGCGCACCCCUGAUAAGGGUGAGGUCCCUGGUUCGAGUCCAGGAUGGCCCACCUGCACAGGUGGCAAAAACAAGAGAAGCGAGGAAUCAGCACCCUAUCUUAUAUACAUAUAUAAGAGAGAAUGCUGGCUCUGAGUACAGAGUCCAGAGGAACCUUGAAAACUGCAUAGAGCUAGGUGAAAAAGCCAAAGAAGAAGACCGCAA